rnacentral:rRNA from 1 species
CCUACGGGAGGCAGCAGUGGGGGAUAUUGCUCAAUGGAGGAAACUCUGAUGCAGCGACGCCGCGUGAGGGAUGAAGGUCUUCGGAUUGUAAACCCCUGUUUUUGGGGAAGAAAAUGACGGUAUCUAAAGAGGAAGCUCCGGCUAACUACGUGCCAGCAGCCGCGGUAAUACGUAGGGAGCGAGCGUUGGUCGGAAUUACUGGGGGUAAAGGGAGCGUAGGCGGGCGAGAAAGUUGAAUGUUAAAUCUACCGGCUAAACUGUAAACUUCGUUCGAAAAUGUUAGUCUAGAGUGAAGGAGAGGCAGGCGGAAUUCCUGGUGUAGCGGUGAAAUGCGUAGAUAUUAAGAGGAACACCAGUGGCGAAGGCGACCUGCUAGACCUUAACUGACGCUGAGGCGCGAAAGCGUGGGGAGCAAACAGGAUUAGAUACCCCAGUAGUC